UUGGAGGGCAAGUCUGGUGCCAGCAGCCGCGGUAAUACCAGCUCCAAUAGCGUAUAUUAAAGUUGUUGCAGUCAAAAAGCUCGUAGUUGAAUUUCGGGAUCAGAGUGUCGGUCGUGCCUCGGUACGCACUGGUAUUAUUGGUUCCUACCUUCUGAAGAACCGCGAUGUCAUUAAUUUGGUGUCGUGGGGAAUCAGGACUGUUACUUUGAAAAAAUUAGAGUGUUUAAAGCAGGCUUACGCUUGAAUACAUUAGCAUGGAAUAAUGAAAUAGGACGUUUGAUUCUAUUUUGUUGGUUUCUAGGAUUGACGUAAUGAUUAAUAGGGAUAGUUGGGGGCAUUAGUAUUCAAUUGUCAGAGGUGAAAUUCUUGGAUUUAUUGAAGACUAACUACUGCGAAAGCAUUUGCCAAGGAUGUUUUCAUUAAUCAAGAACGAAAGUUAGGGGAUCGAAGACGAUCAGAUACCGUCGUAGUCUUAACCAUAAACCAUGCCGACUAGGGAUCGGAUGAUGUUAAUUUUUUAAUGACUCAUUCGGCGCCUUACGGGAAAC
rnacentral:rRNA from 1 species